rnacentral:rRNA from 1 species
GUCCACGCCCUAACGAUGUCAACUGGUUGUUGGGUCUUCACUGACUCAGUAACGAAGCUAACGCGUGAAGUUGACCGCCUGGGAGUACGGCCGCAAGGUUGAACUCAAGGAAUUGACGGGACCCGGCACAAGCGGUGGAUGAUGUGGGUUUAAUUCGAUGCAACGCGAAACCUUAACCCACCUUUGACAUGUACGGAAUCCUUUAGAGAUAGAGGAGUGCUCGAAAGAGAGCCGUAACACAGGUGCUGCAUGGCUGUCGU